rnacentral:lncRNA from 1 species
AUUCUGUACUAGAUCAGGAGAGAGAAUGUUGGUUCAAAUCUAAGAUGCAGAGCAGAUUGGUUAAGGACUAAGUUAGUUGAUCAUUUCCUAAGACAAGACUAGGACUAGCAGCAAAGGUGGUAUGGAUACUAUCAAGAUGAGAGGAGAAGUGGACAAACUGAAAACUAGUUCAAGGUCUAACUUUACAAACAUGACCUACCCACUGUGGCAUCCCUCUUACGCUUAGCCUGAUGUGCUUUGGUAGAGGAAGCACCACCCAUAUGAGUCUGCAUUUGCCAAAGGUGCCUUAGAAGAAAGGGAAAGAACUGGAACAGGUCAGCAAGUCCCAUGCUAAUGGGACUCAUGUCAAGCUGGGUCAAGUUGGGGUGUAGAUCUCUCAUUGAGAGCUAAAGCAUGGCGCUAAAAUAAGGGAAAGCAGAGACAUAGAAAACAAUCAAAUCUGAAGAAACCAGAGGAUGGAGAUGGAGGCUGUAGAACAAGGUGGGAAUGGAAGCUGGUGGAGAACAAUAAGGUCCUGCUGAGGAUCCCUGGUGCCCAGUAGGGAACACCGUGAGGAGGAGGAUUAAGAAAGGCACCCUUUCCACUGAUUUGCAUCGCCAUUUGUACAUGGAGUUUGGCUACAGCAAAAUCCGUUGCUAUCUCACCAGCUACAAGAAGCAAAGAACGAAUUGCAAUUCAUUUUUGUGCUCUAGGACCCGGUUGAGGGUCCCUUGCCUUUAGGUGAGACCUUCCCUGACC